UAAAAGUUUUAUUUUAGCUUAGGAUUUAAUACAUUCUUUUAUUUAAAUGUAAAUGUAGAAUUUUAAAUAAUUUGAUAGGCAAUAUUUAGGAUUAAUAUAUAAAAUAAGUUUUGAAUUAGAAUAAGAAUAAUAAUAUUAACAAAACUUGUGCCAGCAGUUGCGGUUAUACAAGUAAUAUUUUUAAAUUUUUUGGAUUGAAGUUAAAUUGUUUAAUUUUUUAAAUUACUAUAAUAAGGUGAAAUUUUUAUGGUAUAAAAUUAAUUUAUAUAAAUUGAAGCUUUGAAAAUUUUAAAUUAAACUAGGAUUAGAUACCCUAUUAUUAAAAUUGUAAAAUUUUAUCCGUAUUAGUAAAAGUUAAAUUCUUAAAAGUAAAAGAUUUUGGCGGUAUUUUAAUCUCUUCAGAGGAACCUGUUCUGUAAAUGAUAAUCCACGAUUUAAUCAACUUAUUUUAUUAAUUUGCAUAUCGUCGUAAAUAAAAAUUUUAUAAGAAUAAAUUUUUAAAAUAUAAUUUUAUUAUAAAUCAGAUCAAGAUACAGUUUAUAAAUAAGAAUUAAUGGGUUACAACAAAUUUAAUUAAACGAAUAAAAUUUUUAAAAAAUUUUUGAAGGUGGAUUUGAAAGUAAAAAACUUUUAAAUUUUAGUUUUGAUUUAGCUCUAAAAUAUGCACAUAUCGCCCGUCGCUUUCAUUUAUAUGAAAUAAGUCGUAACAAAGUAGUCUUACUGGAAAGUGUGUCUAGAUAAAC
rnacentral:ncRNA from 1 species